rnacentral:rRNA from 1 species
GUAGGUGGCAAGCGUUGUCCGGGAAUUAUUGGGGCGUAAAGCGCGCGCAGGCGGUUCUUUAAGUCUGAUGUGAAAGCCCACGGGCUCAACCGUGGGAGGGUCAUUGGAAACUGGAGAACUUGAGUACAGAAGAGGAAAGCGGAAUUCCACGUGUAGCGGUGAAAUGCGUAGAGAUGUGGAGGAACACCAGUGGCGAAGGCGGCUUUCUGGUCUGUAACUGACGCUGAGGCGCGAAAGCGUGGGGAGCAAACAGGAUUAGAUACCCUGGUAGUCCACGCCGUAAACGAUGAGUGCUAAGUGUUAGGGGGCUUCCGCCCCUUAGUGCUGCAGCUAACGCAUUAAGCACUCCGCCUGGGGAGUACGGCCGCAAAGGCUGA